rnacentral:tRNA from 1 species
GCCGGGAUAGUCUAGCCUGGUAAGGCGCGAGACUGGAAAUCUCGUGGGGAUUUGCCCCGCCUGGGUUCAAAUCCCAGUUCCGGCG